ACUAGGACGACUACGUCUUCUACCAAAUCACCGAUAAAUUCUUUUCCGAAUAUUCCACGUGCGCCGUUUCCUUCAGUCACUUCGACAUCGACAAGAUAUUGGCAAAAGAUCAACUCAGCUACAGAUUUCGUUGAACAAAAGCCAGCAACACCUGCAGACACAAUAACAACCAAAACAACGACUAAGACUACGACGACAAAUCCUAUCACUUUGACAACUACAACACCACUAUAUGGGCAAACAACUCGACAAACGAACAAUUCAGCAGCAACAGAGUUCGGCGAACAAAUGCCAAAUGAAAGUAGCUUAGACAACCAGAUCCUGUGGAUUUCCUUGGGUGCGACUGCAACUGUUUUUACACUCACAGUUUUCUUCAUUAUAUUCUGUCAAAGGGCAAAAAUCGCGAAGUUUUUAAGAAAAAGUGAAAACCCCGACGUAGUGGACGAUGCAUUCUAUUACACAGAUGUAUCCAUGGGAAGACGCGAUAAUCAAUCUGAGAGUGAGACGUACGAAAACGUGACUCCAAAUUUGUUACUAAACGAACUCAACUACAUCGAAUUGGAAUUCAACGUCCAGAAAAAUUCAAACCCAGAAAAUGCAGCUGCUGAAAUUAAUUCUACGACCCUUAACCAAAAGCGCGAUAUAAAAGGCUACGUCGAUUCAGUCAUAUACGCCGAGCUAAGAAAGUGAUGAAAAUGCUGCUCGCCGAUUAUAUUAAUGCUCUUUAAUCCCAUUACAUUUCCCGACUCUUCUUCUUGUGACCAGAAAUGCAAAGAUCAGUAUAUUCAAUUAAUUCAAAUAAAAUAUCGAACGGAAAACAUUUGAUAAUACACAUCAAACGUGACGGAACAAAUCUUAUAGCCUAAACUCUAAAUCUCAAGAAUUUACCACAGAAUUUCUCGAAUUUCCUUUUCCGGAAAGUGUUAACGCUUUUCAAAUUCUCUAAGAACUCAUUUCUUAUCGGACGAAGGGGCGGGUUUACUAACUGAUGGAGAGUCGGGUAUCGCGACAAACCAAUUUUGAUAUGUA